rnacentral:rRNA from 2 species
GGUCAAGUGAAGAAGCGCAUACGGUGGAUGCCUUGGCAGUCAGAGGCGAUGAAAGACGUGGUAGCCUGCGAAAAGCUUCGGGGAGUCGGCAAACAGACUUUGAUCCGGAGAUGUCUGAAUGGGGGAACCCAGCCAUCAUAAGAUGGUUAUCUUACGCUGAAUACAUAGGCGUAAGAGGCGAACCAGGGGAACUGAAACAUCUAAGUACCCUGAGGAAAAGAAAUCAACCGAGAUUCCCUUAGUAGUGGCGAGCGAACGGGGACUAGCCCUUAAGUGGCUUUGAGAUUAGCGGAACGCUCUGGAAAGUGCGGCCAUAGUGGGUGAUAGCCCUGUACGCGAAAAUCUCUUAGUCAUGAAAUCGAGUAGGACGGAGCACGAGAAACUUUGUCUGAAUAUGGGGGGACCAUCCUCCAAGGCUAAAUACUACUGACUGACCGAUAGUGAACUAGUACCGUGAGGGAAAGGCGAAAAGAACCCCGGAGAGGGGAGUGAAAUAGAUCCUGAAACCGUAUGCGUACAAGCAGUGGGAGCCUACUUUGUUAGGUGACUGCGUACCUUUUGUAUAAUGGGUCAGCGACUUAUUUUCAGUGGCGAGCUUAACCGAAUAGGGGAGGCGUAGCGAAAGCGAGUCUUAAUAGGGCGUCUAGUCGCUGGGAAUAGACCCGAAACCGGGCGAUCUAUCCAUGGGCAGGUUGAAGGUUGGGUAACACUAACUGGAGGACCGAACCGACUACCGUUGAAAAGUUAGCGGAUGACCUGUGGAUCGGAGUGAAAGGCUAAUCAAGCUCGGAGAUAGCUGGUUCUCCUCGAAAGCUAUUUAGGUAGCGCCUCAUGUAUCACUGUAGGGGGUAGAGCACUGUUUCGGCUAGGGGGUCAUCCCGACUUACCAAACCGAUGCAAACUCCGAAUACCUACAAGUGCCGAGCAUGGGAGACACACGGCGGGUGCUAACGUCCGUCGUGAAAAGGGAAACAACCCAGACCGUCAGCUAAGGUCCCAAAGUUAUGGUUAAGUGGGAAACGAUGUGGGAAGGCUUAGACAGCUAGGAGGUUGGCUUAGAAGCAGCCACCCUUUAAAGAAAGCGUAAUAGCUCACUAGUCGAGUCGGCCUGCGCGGAAGAUGUAACGGGGCUCAAACCAUACACCGAAGCUACGGGUAUCACGUAAGUGAUGCGGUAGAGGAGCGUUCUGUAAGCCUGUGAAGGUGAGUUGAGAAGCUUGCUGGAGGUAUCAGAAGUGCGAAUGCUGACAUGAGUAACGACAAUGGGUGUGAAAAACACCCACGCCGAAAGACCAAGGUUUCCUGCGCAACGUUAAUCGACGCAGGGUUAGUCGGUCCCUAAGGCGAGGCUGAAAAGCGUAGUCGAUGGAAAACAGGUUAAUAUUCCUGUACUUCUGGUUAUUGCGAUGGAGGGACGGAGAAGGCUAGGCCAGCUUGGCGUUGGUUGUCCAAGUUUAAGGUGGUAGGCUGAGAUCUUAGGUAAAUCCGGGAUCUUAAGGCCGAGAGCUGAUGACGAGUGUUCUUUUAGAACACGAAGUGGUUGAUGCCAUGCUUCCAAGAAAAGCUUCUAAGCUUCAGGUAACCAGGAACCGUACCCCAAACCGACACAGGUGGUUGGGUAGAGAAUACCAAGGCGCUUGAGAGAACUCGGGUGAAGGAACUAGGCAAAAUGGCACCGUAACUUCGGGAGAAGGUGCGCCGGUGAGGGUGAAGGACUUGCUCCGUAAGCUCAUGCCGGUCGAAGAUACCAGGCCGCUGCGACUGUUUAUUAAAAACACAGCACUCUGCAAACACGAAAGUGGACGUAUAGGGUGUGACGCCUGCCCGGUGCCGGAAGGUUAAUUGAUGGGGUUAGCUAACGCGAAGCUCUUGAUCGAAGCCCCGGUAAACGGCGGCCGUAACUAUAACGGUCCUAAGGUAGCGAAAUUCCUUGUCGGGUAAGUUCCGACCUGCACGAAUGGCGUAACGAUGGCGGCGCUGUCUCCACCCGAGACUCAGUGAAAUUGAAAUCGCUGUGAAGAUGCAGUGUAUCCGCGGCUAGACGGAAAGACCCCGUGAACCUUUACUAUAGCUUUGCACUGGACUUUGAAUUUGCUUGUGUAGGAUAGGUGGGAGGCUUUGAAGCGUGGACGCCAGUCUGCGUGGAGCCAACCUUGAAAUACCACCCUGGCAACUUUGAGGUUCUAACUCAGGUCCGUUAUCCGGAUCGAGGACAGUGUAUGGUGGGUAGUUUGACUGGGGCGGUCUCCUCCUAAAGAGUAACGGAGGAGUACGAAGGUGCGCUCAGACCGGUCGGAAAUCGGUCGUAGAGUAUAAAGGCAAAAGCGCGCUUGACUGCGAGACAGACACGUCGAGCAGGUACGAAAGUAGGUCUUAGUGAUCCGGUGGUUCUGUAUGGAAGGGCCAUCGCUCAACGGAUAAAAGGUACUCCGGGGAUAACAGGCUGAUACCGCCCAAGAGUUCAUAUCGACGGCGGUGUUUGGCACCUCGAUGUCGGCUCAUCACAUCCUGGGGCUGAAGCCGGUCCCAAGGGUAUGGCUGUUCGCCAUUUAAAGUGGUACGCGAGCUGGGUUUAGAACGUCGUGAGACAGUUCGGUCCCUAUCUGCCGUGGACGUUUGAGAUUUGAGAGGGGCUGCUCCUAGUACGAGAGGACCGGAGUGGACGAACCUCUGGUGUUCCGGUUGUCACGCCAGUGGCAUUGCCGGGUAGCUAUGUUCGGAAUAGAUAACCGCUGAAAGCAUCUAAGCGGGAAACUAGCCUCAAGAUGAGAUCUCACUGGAACCUUGAGUUCCCUGAAGGGCCGUCGAAGACUACGACGUUGAUAGGUUGGGUGUGUAAGCGCUGUGAGGCGUUGAGCUAACCAAUACUAAUUGCCCGUGAGGCUUGACCAUAUAACACCCA